rnacentral:rRNA from 1 species
GGGUUGUGAGGUUAAGCGACUAAGCGUACACGGUGGAUGCCCUGGCAGUCAGAGGCGAUGAAGGACGUGCUAAUCUGCGAAAAGCGCCGGCGAGGUGAUAUGAACCUUUGACCCGGCGAUGUCCGAAUGGGGAAACCCAGUGUGAUUCGUCACACUAUCGUUAACUGAAUACAUAGGUUAACGAGGCGAACCGGGGGAACUGAAACAUCUAAGUACCCCGAGGAAAAGAAAUCAACCGAGAUUCCCCCAGUAGCGGCGAGCGAACGGGGAGCAGCCCGGAGUCUGAAUCAGCUUGUGUGUUAGUGGAACGGUCUGGAAAGUCCGACGGUACAGGGUGAUAGUCCCGUACACGAAAAUGCACAGGUUGUGAACUCGAAGAGUAGGGCGGGACACGUGGUAUCCUGUCUGAAUAUGGGGGGACCAUCCUCCAAGGCUAAAUACUCCUGACUGACCGAUAGUGAACCAGUACCGUGAGGGAAAGGCGAAAAGAACCCCGGCGAGGGGAGUGAAAAAGAACCUGAAACCGUGUACGUACAAGCAGUGGGAGCCUACUUGUUAGGUGACUGCGUACCUUUUGUAUAAUGGGUCAGCGACUUAUAUUCUGUAGCAAGGUUAACCGUAUAGGGGAGCCGAAGGGAAACCGAGUCUUAACUGGGCGUUAAGUUGCAGGGUAUAGACCCGAAACCCGGUGAUCUAGCCAUGGGCAGGUUGAAGGUUGGGUAACACUAACUGGAGGACCGAACCGACUAAUGUUGAAAAAUUAGCGGAUGACCUGUGGCUGGGGGUGAAAGGCCAAUCAAACCGGGAGAUAGCUGGUUCUCCCCGAAAGCUAUUUAGGUAGCGCCUCGUGAACUCAUCUUCGGGGGUAGAGCACUGUUUCGGCUAGGGGGCCAUCCCGGCUUACCAACCCGAUGCAAACUACGAAUACCGAAGAAUGUUAUCACGGGAGACACACGGCGGGUGCUAACGUCCGUCGUGAAGAGGGAAACAACCCAGACCGCCAGCUAAGGUCCCAAAGUCAUGGUUAAGUGGGAAACGAUGUGGGAAGGCACAGACAGCCAGGAUGUUGGCUUAGAAGCAGCCAUCAUUUAAAGAAAGCGUAAUAGCUCACUGGUCGAGUCGGCCUGCGCGGAAGAUGUAACGGGGCUAAACCAUGCACCGAAGCUGCGGCAGCGACGCUUAUGCGUUGUUGGGUAGGGGAGCGUUCUGUAAGCCGUUGAAGGUGGCCUGUGAGGGUUGCUGGAGGUAUCAGAAGUGCGAAUGCUGACAUAAGUAACGAUAAAGCGGGUGAAAAGCCCGCUCGCCGGAAGACCAAGGGUUCCUGUCCAACGUUAAUCGGGGCAGGGUGAGUCGACCCCUAAGGCGAGGCCGAAAGGCGUAGUCGAUGGGAAACAGGUUAAUAUUCCUGUACUUGGUGUUACUGCGAAGGGGGGACGGAGAAGGCUAUGUUAGCCGGGCGACGGUUGUCCCGGUUUAAGCAUGUAGGCGGAGGUUCCAGGUAAAUCCGGUACCUUUUAACGCUGAGGUGUGAUGACGAGGCACUACGGUGCUGAAGUAACAAAUGCCCUGCUUCCAGGAAAAGCCUCUAAGCAUCAGGUAACACGAAAUCGUACCCCAAACCGACACAGGUGGUCAGGUAGAGAAUACCAAGGCGCUUGAGAGAACUCGGGUGAAGGAACUAGGCAAAAUGGUGCCGUAACUUCGGGAGAAGGCACGCUGAUAUGUAGGUGAAGCCCCUGCGGGUGGAGCUGAAAUCAGUCGAAGAUACCAGCUGGCUGCAACUGUUUAUUAAAAACACAGCACUGUGCAAACACGAAAGUGGACGUAUACGGUGUGACGCCUGCCCGGUGCCGGAAGGUUAAUUGAUGGGGUUAGCGGUAACGCGAAGCUCUUGAUCGAAGCCCCGGUAAACGGCGGCCGUAACUAUAACGGUCCUAAGGUAGCGAAAUUCCUUGUCGGGUAAGUUCCGACCUGCACGAAUGGCGUAAUGAUGGCCAGGCUGUCUCCACCCGAGACUCAGUGAAAUUGAACUCGCUGUGAAGAUGCAGUGUACCCGCGGCAAGACGGAAAGACCCCGUGAACCUUUACUAUAGCUUGACACUGAACACUGGUCCUUGAUGUGUAGGAUAGGUGGGAGGCUUUGAAGCGUGGACGCCAGUCUGCGUGGAGCCGACCUUGAAAUACCACCCUUUAAUGGCUGGUGUUCUAACGUAGACCCGUAAUCCGGGUUGCGGACAGUGUCUGGUGGGUAGUUUGACUGGGGCGGUCUCCUCCCAAAGAGUAACGGAGGAGCACGAAGGUUAGCUAAUCCUGGUCGGACAUCAGGAGGUUAGUGCAAUGGCAUAAGCUAGCUUGACUGCGAGAGUGACGGCUCGAGCAGGUGCGAAAGCAGGUCAUAGUGAUCCGGUGGUUCUGAAUGGAAGGGCCAUCGCUCAACGGAUAAAAGGUACUCCGGGGAUAACAGGCUGAUACCGCCCAAGAGUUCAUAUCGACGGCGGUGUUUGGCACCUCGAUGUCGGCUCAUCACAUCCUGGGGCUGAAGUAGGUCCCAAGGGUAUGGCUGUUCGCCAUUUAAAGUGGUACGCGAGCUGGGUUUAGAACGUCGUGAGACAGUUCGGUCCCUAUCUGCCGUGGGCGCUGGAGAAUUGAGGGGGGCUGCUCCUAGUACGAGAGGACCGGAGUGGACGCAUCACUGGUGUUCGGGUUGUCAUGCCAAUGGCACUGCCCGGUAGCUAAAUGCGGAAGAGAUAAGUGCUGAAAGCAUCUAAGCACGAAACUUGCCCCGAGAUGAGUUCUCCCUGAGACUAUAAGUCUCCUGAAGGAACGUUGAAGACGACGACGUUGAUAGGUCGGGUGUGUAAGCGCAGCGAUGCGUUGAGCUAACCGAUACUAAUGAACCGUGAGGCUUAACCUUACAACGCCGAAGGUGUUU